rnacentral:misc_RNA from 1 species
UACGGAGGGUGCGAGCGUUAAUCGGAAUUACUGGGCGUAAAGCGCGCGUAGGCGGCGUGAUGAGCCGGUUGUGAAAGCCCCGUGCUCAACCUGGGAAUUGCAUCCGGAACUGUCAGGCUAGAGUGCAGGAGAGGAAGGUAGAAUUCCCGGUGUAGCGGUGAAAUGCGUAGAGAUCGGGAGGAAUACCAGUGGCGAAGGCGGCCUUCUGGACUGACACUGACGCUGAGGUGCGAAAGCGUGGGGAUCAAACAGG